GUCUACGGCCAUGCCACCCUGAACAAGCCCGAUUCUGUCUGAUCUUGGAGGCUAACGGGAUCAGGCCUGGUUAGUACUGGAUGGGAGACUACCUAGGAAGACCAGGUGCUGUAGGUG
rnacentral:rRNA from 1 species